rnacentral:rRNA from 1 species
AUUGAACGCUGGCGGCAUGCUUUACACAUGCAAGUCGAACGGCAGCGCGGGCUUCGGCCUGGCGGCGAGUGGCGAACGGGUGAGUAAUGCAUCGGAACGUGCCCAGUAGUGGGGGAUAGCCCGGCGAAAGCCGGAUUAAUACCGCAUACGACCUGAGGGUGAAAGCGGGGGACCGAAAGGCCUCGCGCCAUUGGAGCGGCCGAUGUCGGGUUAGCUAGUUGGUGGGGUAAAGGCUUACCAAGGCGACGAUCCGUAGCUGGUCUGAGAGGACGACCAGCCACACUGGGACUGAGACACGGCCCAGACUCCUACGGGAGGCAGCAGUGGGGAAUUUUGGACAAAGGGGGCAACCCUGAUCCAGCCAUGCCGCGUGCGGGAAGAAGGCCUUCGGGUUGUAAACCGCUUUUGUUCGGGAAGAAAUCCUCUGGGCUAAUACCCCGGGGGGAUGACGGUACCGGAAGAAUAAGCACCGGCUAACUACGUG